GUCCUAAAAUGCAAGACAAGAAAUGCAAGACAUUUUUAACCACUUCAGCUGAGCCACUGGAAACCUCUGCAAAGGAGGUUAUCCUGGGCUGACUUUCUGCUGUUCGUAUCCCCAAUGGUCCGUUCUGUUUCUGCUGGAUAUUGAAUUCCGCACGUUUCAAAGCGGCUCCGGAGCGAAGGGGAGGGACAAAAGAAGCCGCGGUUUGUUUUGAGAAACAGCGCUCACCCCGCCCCGCUCCGGCCUGUGCUGUCUGCAGCACGGACACAGCGUUUAGUUAUUGUUUAGCUGGCUGAGAAAUUCCCCGGACGGUGUUUUCCUUUUUCCUUGGAUCUUUCCAAGCCUGCUCUGGACUGCAAACCCAGACAACCCUGGGAGCUCCCACCUGUGGCUCAGCGGGGCCUGGGCCUCGGCACUUUGCAGCGCCGGAGGGACCGAGAAGAGACUGAGCUGCAGCCCACGGCAAGGACUUUCUGAAUUUGCCAUCUCUUCCAACAGCGAGAGGUUUUAUUCCUUGAGGCAAGGGCUGAAGAACUGAACUGAUGUGAAGACAAAAUUAUCAGUCCAGCCUUGUGCAAUCCUGUGUACAUCGUCCUUGGAGCCAGGCAGGGGCCUACAACUAUCUGGGAGAUUUGCUUGUUUCACUGACACAGCUUCAGCUCCCCACUAAGGUACUGCCUUAUCACCACUGACAAGAUUACAGUGAUUUCCUUGAUGUGUGGGGAAUUUAGCAGGCAGCUGCGGCUAAUCCCGUACGGAGUGUUCUCCCACUGAGGUACAUGGAGAUUUGAAUGCUGCAAAUAAUGUGAAAAAAAGAGUAUCAUUUUUAAAAGCAUGUUAAUUCUCAUUCUGCUUGCUGGUGCAGAUACAGGUUAGCAUUACUGCCCUCCUGUAAAAGCUCAGAACUCGGCCUGGACUGGUGCUUGUCGAGUUCUUCCGGAAGUUGGGAUGAGAAAUCCACGUUCAGCCCUGCGAGGCAUACAGGCCACCUUCUGGGGACAAUACCGAUUAAUUUAAAUUUGCACAAAUAACGCAUAAAUAGUUUAAAAAUGUAGUUGUUUUGGGAGGCAUACUGCAGUGGUUUCGGUUUUUGGAGCAGCAGGGAUCGCUGGAGCUGGGCAGGCCGAUGGCUUGUCCUCCCGGCCCGGCAGUUUCCGGCGAGCCCAGCGGCGGCGGCGCUGCUGGAAACAGCACGGCCGGAAAGAGCUCGGCC